rnacentral:rRNA from 1 species
AACUAGUGCACUUGAGCAUUCGUGCUCAUGUCUUCAGCACUUCUUAGAGGGACUAUCGGUGUGUAGCCGAUGGAAGUUCGAGGCAAUAACAGGUCUGUGAUGCCCUUAGAUGUUCUGGGCCGCACGCGCGCUACACUGACGGGUUCAUCGAGCUGCACAUUUGUUACCUUGACUGACAGGUCUGGGGAAUCUUUGGAAUGCCCGUCGUGCUGGGGAUAGACCCUUGGAAUUAUGGAUCUUGAACGAGGAAUUCCUAGUAAACGCAAGUCAUCAGCUUGCAUUGAUUACGUCCCUGCCCUUUGUACACACCGCCCGUCGCU